rnacentral:rRNA from 1 species
CAGUCGCCGCGGUAAUACGUAGGGUGCGAGCGUUAAUCGGAAUUACUGGGCGUAAAGCGUGCGCAGGCGGUUAUAUAAGACAGAUGUGAAAUCCCCGGGCUCAACCUGGGACCUGCAUUUGUGACUGUAUAGCUAGAGUACGGUAGAGGGGGAUGGAAUUCCGCGUGUAGCAGUGAAAUGCGUAGAUAUGCGGAGGAACACCGAUGGCGAAGGCAAUCCCCUGGACCUGUACAGACGCUCAUGCACGAAAGCGUGGGGAGCAAACAGGAUUAGAUACCCCAGUAGUCCCUGUCUCUUAUAC